GAUCAUUACUUCCGUUUGCCAGUUGUGCGGGGGAACGUCGCCAUCGAGGUGUCUCCACUUCAUGUCCACGAUCAGAGAAUCUUUGUACAAUGAAGGAAUUGUUUAGACCAGGACAGAGGCCUCCAGAAUUCAAAGUUCAAGCAUUAAAUGACAGAGAGAAGAGACAGAAAUGAAGAUGUUUCCAGAAGUCCAGGUGCAGUAAAAGAACAGAAGGAAUCCCUUUUGUAAAUGAGACACAGUGAAAUCAACAGUGCUGCGUUUUGGGGAAUUCAUUUAUAUGGUGUGUCUGUGAUCACACAGAGUGUUUGAGAGGCGUGCAUGUAAUUCACAUCAAGUGUGCAAGAGAGAGUACUGAGAUUGCUUAUGUUUAGUAUUAAUUGGAUUAAAAGUAAUAGUAUAAGUUUUGUAUGUGUUUUCAAAUUGAUAUUACAAAAGUGAUCUUGUAGAAAUGUCAAAUGUUGUCUAGUUAAUAAAAUUAAAGACAGUGUGUAAAUAUUGUCACAGUGUUUUGUUUAAUCAAUGUUAUUUAGUAUUAUUUUUGUUUCAUGUGUAUUUGUUUGCGUUAGUCAAAGUAUGUGAGUUUUUUUAUAUGUAUGGUCUGUUGUUAUUGUAUUCUGCCUACUGUCUUGUUGCAAGUGUCUUAUGUGAUCUUCCCAACUGUUUUAAUGUGUU